rnacentral:rRNA from 1 species
GACGAACGCUGGCGGCGUGCCUAAUACAUGCAAGUUGAGCGAUGAAGAUUGGUGCUUGCACCAAUUUGAAGAGCAGCGAACGGGUGAGUAACGCGUGGGGAAUCUGCCUUUGAGCGGGGGACAACAUUUGGAAACGAAUGCUAAUACCGCAUAACAACUUUAAACAUAAGUUUUAAGUUUGAAAGAUGCAAUUGCAUCACUCAAAGAUGAUCCCGCGUUGUAUUAGCUAGUUGGUGAGGUAAAGGCUCACCAAGGCGAUGAUACAUAGCCGACCUGAAAGGGUGAUCGGCCCCAUUGGGACUGAGACACGGCCCAAACUCCUACGGGAGGCAGCAGUAGGGAAUCUUCGGCAAUGGACGAAAGUCUGACCGAGCAACGCCGCGUGAGUGAAGAAGGUUUUCGGAUCGUAAAACUCUGUUGGUAGAGAAGAACGUUGGUGAGAGUGGAAAGCUCAUCAAGUGACGGUAACUACCCAGAAAGGGACGGCUAACUACGUG